GGGGCCGUAGCUCAGCUGGGAGAGCGCGUGAAUGGCAUUCACGAGGUCGGCGGUUCGAUCCCGCUCGGCUCCA
rfam:Hydrogenibacillus schlegelii strain DSM 2000 scaffold6, whole genome shotgun sequence.